UGGCACUCUGCUACCAUUUAGCAUGAGAGGAGAUGUGAGUGAAGAAAACUGGGGUAGAAAACGGAGGUGGUUAUACUUCACGGUGGUAAACAAUCUUACUCACACAGGUAACCUUAAGGCGAGAGCUUCCUUUUUCCUGGCUUUGGAAAGGAGCCCAGCCAAGUGAGUGACCUGGGAGCUCAAGCUUCAAUGGCUUCGUGGUAAAUGGCUGCUGCCCAAAUAAAACCUUUACCUCAAGCUACACAUUCGAAACUGGAAGAAGGCAUUCGUUCUUGCCUAGGGAGAGCCUUCCUGGGAGGUGGCUCAUCAAACCCUCGUGGUGGGUGGCUCCCCUUAUUGAUGGCCUUAUCAGUGGUAGGGGAUCUUUGCCUGGUGCAAAGAAACAUCAGUAAGACAGGGGAGGGAGAAACCUAUUGUAUUAAAUCUUUCUUUCUCCUUUCAUUUUUUUUCCCUCCUGCCUCCCACAGACACCUGGUAUCAGUUCCAAAAGACACAUUUUAGUGCCUUUAAGCAAAACUAGUUCUUCUGCCUGGGCGAACUCUGACACUGAACUUUCUGUUUCCAGCCCCCUUAAAAAACCUUCAUCAAAUUUCCACCACGCAAAGGUUGAAGUGUUUCGGUCACCGAAGCGGUUCAGUGAUGAUCGUGGUGGCUGUUUCUUAAAGGGGAUACUCGUUCAUUCAUUCAUUCAUUCAUUAGUUCGUUCAUUCAACAAACACGUAGCAAAUUCCGCAAUGUGACAGACAUUGCGCCUGAAGGCAGAGCAAACACAGUCACCCUUGCGGCCAUCUCGGAGACUCGCAUCGAAUAAAUCACAAACAAACGUAAACUUGCCACACUCACCUGAAUAAAAGGCACAGACCUGACCUCUAUGUUCAGCCACUAAGCAAAUACGCUGCUGGGUCAGUGUGAAGGUAUUUUAAGGCGUCCACGUGACAUUCUCCUCAGAUGGCCCCCAUCCUGUCCUUCCCUCUGCUGACGCAAAGGCCUUCUCACCCGUCAGAAGGUGAAGCCUUGUCCCUGCCUUGAAUGGGGCUGGCCUUGGAACUUGCUUUGAGCCCGAGAACGCUGUGAAGGGAUCUGUGUGAGACAGUUUGGGGCCAACGCCUUAAGAGAACUGAUGGCCUUCCGCGCCUUCCCUUUCCAAGUCAUCUGCCGCAGACAGAGCCCAAUAUCCCGAGACCACAGUGCUGUGAGGAAGCCAAGCCAGCAGCGGGGAGAGGCCACACGGAGAGAGGGAUGUUCAGCCGGGUCCCAGCUCUUCAGCCUUCCCAGCUGAGACGUCAGACGUGACAGAAGAAGGCCAUCUCCUCUCGGGGCAUUCUUCUCCCAGUGGACACCACGUGGAACAGGAAAACCACCCAGAGGAAACCAGCGCACAUUGCAAAAGAAGAAUAAAUGGUUAUGAGGCAUUGGACAUGGUGAUCCCCUUUAGGGACAAGCUGGCUCCCACUGUAAACGGAGGACCCUUGAUGUCCUCCAUGGUGUGUGUGACGUAGGACUGUGAGAUUUAGCAAACGGAAAAAUGAAACGGAGGGAGGGGCAGCAUUGACGGCUGAGAUGAAUGAUGUCCUGGCCUCACUGUUUCUGGAUGCAGGCCCCCAUCAACUGGGGCAACGUUGAGUGAGGCUCUGCUUCUUGCCACGUGACACAGGGGCAAGUGAGCAGCCCGUUCCGAGUAGGAUGAUGUAUGUGGACGCGAGGAAUGCAUUUUCAUCAAUCACUUGAACUGAAGGCAUGCAUUUUUUGCUGGACUGAAAAUUGGUAUUUUUGUCUUUUUUUCAAGAGGAUUGUUGGAUCCGUGUGCUCAGAUUCAUAACUGGCAUUGCUCCCUUGUCUUGGAAACAGUGUGAGAGAGAACAUUGGGUUCUUGGAAUCAGAAACUGGUUCCCGAGUUCAGCCUUCAUCCACACAAGGUCUACGGGAAGAGGCAAAAUUUGAGAGAUGGGAAAUUGCGCCCAUGGAGUCAUCAAGGGGUCAUCACCGAGGUAGCAGAUUUAGGACCCAGGUGGAUGGGAUAAUUGCCACCUCUUCCCCCUGAACCAGCAACUGUGCUUCCAAUUUCAUCAACAGAAAGGGGACCUGGGGAAGAAAAAUGGCUUUACCCUUAUGUAUCUUUUGGUCUGUUGCUGACUCUGCCACAGGCCUUUUGGGAUGUGAGAAGAGUCUCAGUGUUAAUGCAGCCUGGCUUUUUUUUUUUUUUUUUUUUUUUUUUUUUUAGCACUAUAUACUUCUUGUGGUCAUAGAGCCGUAAGUAAACAUGGAAAAGGUGACAGCCUGGGGACCUCAAGUUAGGAUUGCUGUACGGUGACAUUGAACAAUGGAGUAUCCCCAGUUCUCCCCAAUAAUUCACUGUGGACACUGACAGAACACGUGUUUGUUGAUGGCAGGGUUGGGGUAGUUUGGGGUGGACUGAAGGCAAAGGCUCUCAGUGCCCUCCAAGAUGCUGGCGAGUUCAGAGGACUAAGAUAUUCAAUCAUUGUAGGGCAACAGACUCUUUAAUACCAUGGAAAGUUGGCAAAACCUUGUGAACCUGUGUGAAUCAGAUACACUGGCUCAAAGUAGAUGAAAUGGAUCAGUUCACAUAAUUUGGCCUAGUGUUAGGGCUAUGGGAAUGAAAAUGCCCUAGGAGAAAUCCUGUGGCAGCUUUGCUGAAGCAGGUGUGUGUGUGUGUGUGUGUGUGUGUGUGUGUGUGUAAGAACCCAUAUCCCAAAUUGUUAUAUGACUUCCACCACUUACAUCAGAAUCCCUUUCUCUUCCUACUGAAUGGCAUUCUUAGCUCCCAACACCCUCCCAGUUCUCAUGCCUGAAGGUCAACUGUGAUUUCAACUUGAUGCUUUUGCCCUAUUGACACAUGAUUUUUUUUAAGGUAACUUUUUUUUUUUAAGUUUACUUAUUUAUUUUGAGAAGACAGAGACAGCGCAAGCAGGGGAGGGGCAGAGAGAGAGGGAGAGACAGAAUCCCAAGCAGGCUCCGUACUGCCAGCUACAGAGCCCGAUGUGGGGCUGGAACCCAAGAGCUGUGAGAACAUGACCAGAGCUGAAACCAAGAGUCGGAUGCUUAACUGACUGAGCCACUCCGGCGCCCUGGACACAUGAUAUUUGUAAACCUAGGAAAAAGCAAGGAAAACUCCUUGGAGAUUGAUUUGGACACUUGAUCAAAA